rnacentral:tRNA from 1 species
GGGCGCUUAGCUCAGCUGGCUAGAGCAUUUCAUUUACACUGAAAGGGUCGGGGGUUCAAAUCCCUCAGCGCCCACCA